GAAUUGAUUGGAGUUGAAGAAGCCAUCGCGAAUGGGAAAGCUUCGGAAGAAGAGAAGGGAAGAAACUGUAGUCGGGCGAAAGAAAAGGCCGAUCCGCCCACGCAAUCUGGCUACAUCGGGCUGGAUGAGUUCCGGAACCAGACGCUGCGAAGAAAGGAAAGCGAUGCAGAUAAGCUGCACGGCAAAAUCACCCACAGACUGGAGCCUGGUGGCUUGGAGUAUAACUACGCCUCCUCCGCCAAGGGCGCAAAAGUGUUGGCCCACAACAAGGAGGCAAAAGGGGCAGGAAAUAUACUGUGCAGGGACAAAGACAAGUACCUUCGGAACCCGUGUUCUGCGGUCGACAAGUUCGUCGUCAUAGAGCUCUCCGAGGAGACGCUGGUCGAUGCCAUCGAGAUCGCAAAUUUGGAGCACUACUCAUCCAACUUCAAGGGUUUCGAGCUGUUGGGGAGCUUGAG
rnacentral:lncRNA from 1 species